CCUACGGGUGGCAGCAGUGAGGAAUAUUGGUCAAUGGGCGAGAGCCUGAACCAGCCAAGUCGCGUGAGGGAGUACUGCCCUAUGGGUUGUAAACCUCUUUUGUCGGGGAGCAAAAGCCGGACGUGUCCGGCUGUGAGAGUUCCCGAAGAAAAAGCAUCGGCUAACUCCGUGCCAGCCGCCGGGGUUAUAAGGAGGGAGCGAGCGUUAUCCGGAUUUAUUGGGGUUAAAGGGUGAGUAGGGGGGUUGUUAAGUCAGGGGUCAAAGGGCGGGGGCUAACCCCGGAACGGCGGUUGAACCUGGCAGUCUCGAGUUGAGGAGAAGUAUGCGGAAUUCGCGGUGUAGCGGUGAAAUGCAUAGAUAUCGCGCAGAACUCCGAUUGCGAAGGCAGCAUGCCGGCUCCACACUGACGCUGAGGCACGAAAGCGUGGGUAUCGAACAGGAUUAGAUACCCGUGUAGUC
rnacentral:rRNA from 1 species